AUUGAACGCUGGCGGCAUGCCUUACACAUGCAAGUCGAACGGUAACAGGUUAAGCUGACGAGUGGCGAACGGGUGAGUAAUGUAUCGGAACGUGCCCAGUCGUGGGGGAUAACUACUCGAAAGAGUGGCUAAUACCGCAUACGACCUGAGGGUGAAAGCGGGGGACCGUAAGGCCUCGCGCGAUUGGAGCGGCCGAUAUCAGAUUAGCUAGUUGGUGGGGUAAAAGCCCACCAAGGCGACGAUCUGUAGCUGGUCUGAGAGGACGACCAGCCACACUGGGACUGAGACACGGCCCAGACUCCUACGGGAGGCAGCAGUGGGGAAUUUUGGACAAUGGACGCAAGUCUGAUCCAGUCAUGCCGCGUGCGGGAAGAAGGCCUUCGGGUUGUAAACCGCUUUUGUCAGGGAAGAAACGGUUCUGGUUAAUACCUGGGACUCAUGACGGUACCUGAAGAAUAAGCACCGGCUAACUACGUGCCAGCAGCCGCCGUAAUAC
rnacentral:rRNA from 1 species